rfam:Mustela putorius furo unplaced genomic scaffold scaffold00053, whole genome shotgun sequence.
ACGUGGCUGGCUCAGUUGGUAGAGCAUGUGAUUCUUGAUCUCAGGAUUGUGAGUUCGAGUCUCAUGUUGGGUA